CUUUUUGCAAGCAGCUGCACUGUGAGUUCGCCUUCCAUUAGUAAAGGGACAAUGAAGGGAAGGCGAACCCCGCGUCCAAAACAUGGCCAAUGAAAGGACACUGGAAUGGAAGCCAGGAAUCCUGCUGUGGUGGAGAGGCAUAGACUCAUGAGUCCACCACAAUCGGAUACUUGCUUCUUUUUAACAGCCCUAUCAGCCGAGAGAAAUAAUGACUCCUGAAUCAUUUGACAGUAAAAAAGUUAAAAUGAUGUCUCAAUGGCGCUGCAUCAUGCCAGACGCGCGUGGAUGAUUUGAAGAUAUUAGCCUAACAAGAUGGAAGCAGGUUUAAAAUUUUACAUAAGAAGUUACCUUUUUCAGCUGGUCCUAUAGUACCCCUCCUCAGGAAUGUCUCCCCAGUGCAAGGACAAAGACUGAAGAGACUGCUAUAUUGAUGGACUCUCAAGCCAACUAUGAAGUUGAAACAAAGAAAGUGAUCACCUGAAGACACCUCCUCUGCUAAGAAACACCCCCAAAUUGUGCAGCUUCUGCCACUAGAACUCUCAGAACAAGAGACAAUCUUUUCAAGAAACAGAAAAACUCAAUAAUGACAUCUAGAUUUUCAUGAGCCAAGAACUUUCCCUUCCUCAUGUGUAUUCCUCUGUUUGUACUUAAAUUCAUGUGACAUUCAUUUUUUUCCUAGUAUGGAUAUGCUUAUUAAUGCACUUGUUUCAAAAUCCCAAAUUGCACAAAUGUGUUAAUAUUUUAAGAAACAAAAUGAAUCCUACAAGGAGAAUGAUUUUUAGCCACACAUAGGGUUGGAUCUUGAGAGUGACCUACAGAAUAAAAGUACUUUUAAAAUAAAGUAGUCAGAGGCUAUUCAAAGGGUAAAAUAAUCAUAGUACCACAUUGGUCCACUUGACACUAACCAAUCGAUCAUUUUUUUUUAAUCAAGAAAGCUAGAUUCUAUCAGAUAAAAUCACUGCUUCUAAAGAGUUUAAAUCUAGUUAGAAAAAGUUAUAGAAAUGUUUGCAAAGAUAAGUAACAGAUAGAGUCAGUAGAGGAUAAGAUCAAAAACAAAACCAAGCAAAAGAUGAGUUCAGGGGAGUUUGCCAUCAAGUUGGCAAAACUGACUUACUUAGGGAAGAAAGUUAUAAAACAGGAAAAUAUGAGAUGAACCUUGAGUGAUGUGGAAGAUUUAGAUAAAUGGAAAGGAAGGAGAAAAUGGAGUUCUUUAGGUGGUUGUAAUUGGAGGAGGAAAUGAAUACACACAUCUUGUUGACUUAAACCCAGACAUUCAGCAGCUCUCUAUACAUAUCUGGAAAAGACUGCACAGUCACCUCCUGUCUCUCACCCCAGGUAUUACUUAGAAUUAUUAUCAUAUUUCCCUUCCUUUAAAGUAAGUAAGGGUGAUUGGUGACAAUAUGGAGAACUAUGAUUUUUCCAUUAACCUAAUAAUAAUUGGUAUUUAUUGAGUUCUGUUAAGCAUUUUACAUAUUAACUCACUUAAGCCUUUCAACAGCCUUGCAAAAUAGGUAUUAUUAUCCCCAUUUUACAGGCAAGAAAACUGAGGUUUAAGUAACUUGCCGAAGUGCCAUAUACAGGGCUCACAUUCAGUAUUGCAGUUGCAAAGCUCAUGAUCUAUAGUGCCAAGUUGCAAUAUUGUAGUCAAUGUCACAAUUAUUACCCCUUUUUAUAUUCCUUGAUAUUUUUCCAUGGCAAACAAUUAGCUAUUUCAUUUAAUAAUCACCUAAAACUUUUCAGUCUUCUGAUUAAAAUUACGCUGGAGUGAUAGAAUGUAUUUUCAUGAUAGAAAUUGGGAAAAAAAAUGGGGAAUGAAGUUUAUCAGCAUUUCAGACUUGUUUUUUUUUUUUUUUUUUGCAAGACUUUGAUGAGAUUGUUCACUUUUGUCUAUGUAAAAUCCCAAAUCCUUGAGAAUAAAAAAGGGGGAGGUUUAAGUCACUUGUUGCAAUGCCCUUUUUAAUAGAGGCAAUAAAUCUAAAGGCCAUAAAUUUAGAGUGACUUACAGAAGAUCGAACUUUGGAGUGUGGCAGAGUAAGGGAUGGAAACCGGGCCCUCCAGUUCACUAUCAGUAGCUUUUGCACUGGUCUGCCCUUCCUAAAUUAAGUAUGCACUUCAAUUUGAUGAGUGGAAACAGUCUAUCUGGGCAGUAACCAGGGAGCUUUGUGCCUAGUAGAUUGCUUCUGUUCUGCACUUCUUUGGUUUCCCACCUCAAUGUAAAAAAUAGCUAGCAAUGAAGUCCAGAAGUUGUCAAUGGUUCAUCCCCAGAAGAAUGCAUAAUGUCCAAAGUUGUAUGUGUAUGAUGUCUUCAAUGGUAUUAAGUUAUUUCAAAUUCUUAGUUCACCUACAUAAAUCAUUUCUAACAAGCAUCUUCUUAACCAACUUUAUGCACAGUGUAUGUUUGUAAGUGCUUCUGCACGAAUGUUUAUACAUGACUGUUUCCAUAGUACUUAUGUUUUUAAAAAUAUUCAGUCAUUUCCUACUAUAAUCCUCAUGUAUCCAUGUAACUGACUCAAAAAUACUUCAGCCACAGAAAGCUAAAACUGAGCAAAUCUCAUUCUUCUUUUCCAUCCCCUUUGCAUGUGGCUGGCAUUUAGUAAUGAUUAAUAAUAUGGCCAGCUGAAUAACAGAGGUUUGAGACACAAUUCUUUCUCAAAGGAGUCAGCUAAGCUGGGUCUACUUAUGGACAAACAUCUAAAUGUGUGGAAGUAUCUGAUAUUUGACAAUGGUAAAUUUCCACUUAGCUAGCUAGCAUUGUCAGACUUCAAUCUCCUCAUGGCUCUGGCCGUCCUGUUUUAAGCAUGAUAAUUGUUGGCCACAUCUCACAUAGUUCUCAUUGAGUGAGUUCAUAAAUAAACAGGGUUUUUUUUUUUUUUUAAAGAGCAGCCAAGCACAAAGUGUGACUUUGUUGACAUUUUAUGUGACUUUGUCAUAUG
ensembl:lncRNA MIR100HG mir-100-let-7a-2-mir-125b-1 cluster host gene